rnacentral:rRNA from 1 species
UUUCCUACGGGCGGCUGCAGUGGGGAAUAUUGGACAAUGGGCGCAAGCCUGAUCCAGCAAUGCCGCGUGAGUGAUGAAGGCCUUCGGGUUGUAAAGCUCUUUCGCCCACGACGAUGAUGACGGUAGUGGGAGAAGAAGCCCCGGCUAACUUCGUGCCAGCAGCCGCGGUAAUACGAAGGGGGCUAGCGUUGUUCGGAAUGACUGGGCGUAAAGGGCGCGUAGGCGGCGCAUCAAGUCGGGCGUGAAAGCCCCGGGCUCAACCUGGGAACGGCGUUCGAGACUGGUGCGCUGGAGUUCGGGAGAGGAGAGUGGAAUUCCCAGUGUAGAGGUGAAAUUCGUAGAUAUUGGGAAGAACACCGAUGGCGAAGGCAGCUCUCUGGACCGAUACUGACGCUGAGGCGCGAAAGCGUGGGGAGCAAACAGGAUUAGAUACCCGAGUAGUCAAA